rnacentral:rRNA from 1 species
AGCCUGAACGCUGGCGGCGUGGCUAAGACAUGCAAGUCGAACGGGUGUAGCAAUACACCAGUGGCGGACGGGUCAGUAAUGAAUCGCUAAUGUACCCCGGAGCCAGGGAUAGCUGCCCGAAAGGGCAGGUAAUACCUGAUGAGACCACAGUGCCGCAUGGCACGGUGCUCAAAGCCGCAAGGCACUCUGGGAGCAGGCGAUUUUGAUCAGCUUGUUGGUGAGGUAACGGCUCACCAAGGCGACGACGCAUAGCCGGACUGAGAGGUUGGCCGGCGACAUUGGGACUGAGACACUGCCCAGACUCCUACGGGGGGCUGGCAGUAACGAAUCUUCCGCAAUGCACGAAAGUGUGACGGAGCGACGCCGCGUGUAGGACGAAGCCCUUCGGGGUGUAAACUACUGUCAGGGGAAAGAAAGUUCUGAUCUACCCAGAGGAAGGGACGGCUAACUCUGUGCCAGCAGCCGCGGUAA